rnacentral:rRNA from 1 species
AUGAACGCUGGCGGCGUGCCUAAUACCUGCAAGUCGAGCGAACGGACGAGAAGCUUGCUUUUCUGAUGUUAGCGGCGGACGGGUGAGUAACACGUGGAUAACCUACCUAUAAGACUGGGAUAACUUCGGGAAACCGGAGCUAAUACCGGAUAAUAUUUUGAACCGCAUGGUUCAAAAGUGAAAGACGGUCUUGCUGUCACUUAUAGAUGGAUCCGCGCUGCAUUAGCUAGUUGGUAAGGUAACGGCUUACCAAGGCAACGAUGCAUAGCCGACCUGAGAGGGUGAUCGGCCACAUUGGAACUGAGACACGGUCCAGACUCCUACGGGAGGCAGCAGUAGGGAAUCUUCCGCAAUGGGCGAAAGCCUGACGGAGCAACGCCGCGUGAGUGAUGAAGGUCUUCGGAUCGUAAAACUCUGUUAUUAGGGAAGAACAUAUGUGUAAGUAACUGUGCACAUCUUGACGGUACCUAAUCAGAAAGCCACGGCUAACUACGUG